ACAAAAAAGUUGGAACUUGGAAAAAAAAGAGUAGACUUUCUUCUAUUCAAAUCAAAGAGCAGACUUUCUUCUGCUUUGUAAUUUCCGCGUCUCAUUGAGCUUGUAAGAUUUCUCGAAUAGUGCAUUGUUAGAUUCAAGUUGGGAUGUCGAUAGAAACCCACAAGUGGCAGCUCCUAGUCCUACGGAGGUGGAUACUGGAGCCGAGUCCUCUUUUAAUGGAAAAGAGGCUCAAUUUAGCUUCUCACCUAUCCAAGAAUCUUGAUCAAUGCUGAAGUGAAGGUAGUUGAAGAGGAGGAUAAUCUGGAAGACGAAGAAGGAAUUAAAGCCGAGGCUUCUACAAAGAAGAAAAGUAAAAACAAGUGACAAGUCAUUAUUGUUCUUUGUCUAUUAUCCUUUAGUGUUUGCUUUGAUGAUCCAAAAGUUGAUGAUUGUUAGUAGGAGGCAGAAGAAUUCACCUGAACAGACUGAUCCACCUUCAGUUCCUGUUGUUGAGCUCUUCCUUGUUGGAUGAGUGAGUUCAAAUUCCUUUGUUUUAUGUCAAAAACAAAACCUCUGGAGAAAAAGGACUGUCAUUCACAGUAUGAUGAUGUGAUGAAGUUGGAUUUUAUUGACGAUAUAGUAAAUUUUUUUUUACUU